GCCUGUGUAGCUCAGUCGGCAGAGCGGCAGUUUUGUAAACUGUAGGUCGGGGGUUCAAUUCCCUCCACAGGCU
rnacentral:tRNA from 1 species